GAAUGUGAGGAUGAACUGUCUGCUACCUCAGUCACUCCACUAAUCACCAGAGUUGGUUCAGCUCUUGGACUGGCUAGGCUGUGGGCGGUGUCCCCCCCGCCCCCCAUGGUUCCAGGUGUGUCCCUCUGAAGCAUGGUUGAAAAAAACAAGAAGGCCAACCUUCUCCAAAUAGAGGAAGACUGGUCCUCAGACAAGGGUAAGAGUAGCUACGCUCCCCUGCUAGAGCCUCCUAACAAGCUCUCAAAUGUCAAACAGAAAAGAACAGAAACUUGAUCAGACCUCCUAGAGUCGGAUUACUCA
rnacentral:snRNA from 1 species